rnacentral:rRNA from 1 species
CGAUUGAACGCUGGCGGAAUGCUUUACACAUGCAAGUCGAACGGCAGCACGGGGCAACCUGGUGGCGAGUGGUGAACGGGUGAGUAAUACAUCGGAACGUGCCCAAUCGUGGGGGAUAACGUAGCGAAAGUUACGCUAAUACCGCAUACGAUCUACGGAUGAAAGCGGGGGAUCGCAAGACCUCGCGCGAAUGGAGCGGCCGAUGUCAGAUUAGGUAGUUGGUGGGGUAAAGGCUCACCAAGCCAACGAUCUGUAGCUGGUCUGAGAGGACGACCAGCCACACUGGAACUGAGACACGGUCCAGACUCCUACGGGAGGCAGCAGUGGGGAAUUUUGGACAAUGGGCGCAAGCCUGAUCCAGCCAUGCCGCGUGAGUGAAGAAGGCCUUCGGGUUGUAAAGCUCUUUCGGCCGGGAAGAAAUCGCACAGGUUAAUACCCUGGUGUCCUGACGGUACCGGAAGAAUAAGCACCGGCUAACUUCGUG